AGAUUGAACGCUGGCGGCGUGCCUAACACAUGCAAGUCGAGCGGUAACAGGUGUAGCAAUACAUGCUGACGAGCGGCGAACGGGUGAGUAAUGCUUUGGAAUCUUCCCAGUAGUGGGGAAUAACCAGUCGAAAGAUUGGCUAAUACCGCAUACGUCUGUAAAGGGAAAGCGGGGGCUCGUAAGACCUCGCGCUAUUGGAUGAGCCAAAGUCGGAUUAGCUUGUUGGUGGGGUAAUGGCCUACCAAGGCGACAAUCCGUAGCUGGUCUGAGAGGACGACCAGCCACACCGGAACUGAGACACGGUCCGGACUCCUACGGGAGGCAGCAGUGGGGAAUAUUGGACAAUGGGGGAAACCCUGAUCCAGCGACGCCGCGUGUGUGAAGAAGGCCUGCGGGUUGUAAAGCACUUUUAGUGGGGACAAAAGCUACGGAUUAAUACUCUGUGGUCUUGAUUUAACCCAAGAAAAAGCACCGGCUAACUCUGCGCCAGCAGCCGCGGU
rnacentral:rRNA from 1 species